GUUCUUGAGGUGUAAUUUGCACAUUAGGUUUUCAUCCUAAAGGUAUAGAAAAAAUCUAUCUAGAAUA
rnacentral:tRNA from 1 species